GGUAUGCACAUUGCUACCUUCUCUGCCCGCCUCCUGAGAAAGGGGGUGCAGCAGCCCAGGAGGACCGCCUGGCACACACGGCUACCUCGCUUCCAGACUACAAAUAGCGCUGGCUAAACAAAGAAUUUAGGAGCGGAAAUGACGCUCUGAAUUUUGUCGGAGACAUACUCCAGAGAGAAGGAAGACUGGCACACACACCCAAACAGAGCAACCACAUGCUUUCACAAGGGAAACCUGCAUCCCUUCUUACAGCAGGAAUGAUCUUAGAGAGGAAAGAACGACCUCUAGAUAUAAGUCGUCCUAAGAAAAAGAUACUUUUAAGUGCAGACAGAGGCACAGGGGUGGCAAGCAAUCUCCCCAGAGCUACACGAAGCCUGUGAUGGAAGCAGGAACGAUCGUUGAUCUCCUGAAUCAAAAGCCAAAUGCCUUAACCACAAAAUUAUCCUACUUUCAUUGCCUCAACCUGUCUGAAUCCAGAAGUACCAAAUUACUGGGGGAGGGAAGGAGGAAGGGAAGAAAACAGAACAUCUAUGGGGAAUAUUUCUGACCCAUCUAGAAGCAGAAACUGCUUAUAUUGGUGUAAGCCUCCUAUAUUGCAGUCCAAGGAAUUUGGGACAAGGGUAUGAACUCAAAAAUGUGGUCAAAAUACUCAGCUUUUUGAAAUUUAAGUGGGGCUGACAUAGACCUUCUAUUAAAUCAAGCAAAAAGCCUGGAGUGCUCAAGAGAUUAAAUAAUUCACACACUGCCUUUCCCUGGGGGUUCACAUCCAGCCCAGACCACAAGUGUCAUGUACAAUCACGUGUACUUUUGAUAGACUUUGAGAGGUAAGAGAAUGGACAAUCCCCAGAAGACAAAUGCUCACAUGGGACAAGUCCCUGGGGAGAAGCCUGGCGACAGUCCUAGGGGACAGUAAGUAAAACCGGUGGAGGGAAUGCUGCAGAGAAGUAGAAUCUUGGACCCCAGGGUACAGAUGUGAAUAAAUGAGGGGAUACGCUUUGGUUUGCCCUUGACAGUCUCAACUUCUGAUGACUCAGUGAAAUCCUGUCCCAAAUAAAUCACUUUUAUCCACAUGGAGAGGCAGGGUGUGCUUACAGUGGCUCCACGUGAAAAGCAUAAAGAUGCCAUUUGCACCAAACAUGCCAAAACAAGGAGUUGGUGAGAUGUCACAUAGGAUACACAACUCUGCACACCUUGUGAUUUGCUCAGGCUCUCAAACCGUCCUCACAAGCUGCCCACGGCUCCAGCCGGGGAAAAGCAGCAGAGGCCAGAGCUGGCGGAUGGCGCGGGGAGCUGGUGUGCACCCACCCAACCAGCCUGGGGACCUGAGCUGUUGAAACUUGCUACAAGCAGAAAACAGCAGCAAACUACACCUUGCUCUGUAGCGUGGGUGAAGCAUGGAGGGAGCAGAGCCUCCGGGGAGCCAUGCUACAAUCCAGUGCCUUCAGAGCUAACUCCUGCAAUAGCAUUUUCCAUGCAGUGCCCCUGCUUACGUAGCUCCAGGCUUGGCUUGAAGGUGCAAUCUGCUUCUUCACGCUAUUUCCACAGCCAUUUUCACUUGGAGUGCCUGCUGUUUCCUUUCAAAAAUUGCUGCAUCCCUAAGGUAUAAAGGGCAGAAAACUCUUCCAGCAAAGCCUUGGAGUCAGCAACAGAGAGGGGAAACUAAAUUAUUAAGGACCACAUCGAUGCAGAUUUUCUUUCUGUCUGGAGCAAAACUGAAAUCUCUUCUUUCUUCCCCCAUUGUGGCUAUGGUAAUAAUACACAUCUAUUCAUUAUCCUCAUCCUAACUAGAAAAGCUCCUUUCAAUUUAGCACUUAAUAUAAUUAUGGCAAAUUAAAUAGUGUCUAGAAAAAAAGUCUUACUUUUUCCGUGCUAUUAUCUUACCUCUAUGAAACUCUACCAGUUAAAAGUGAAUCUAGCUAUUAAACAAUAAGGGUUUGUAUCUAUUCAGUGAGCAGAAAAGUGAGAUGUUCAGCUGAAAAUUGUUCAAAUUCUAUUUCCAAAUUAAAUACCAUAUCUCCAAGGGAAAACAGGAGAAUCUCAUUAAUGAUGUUCCUUUCGCAUUGCGGAGACAGUACUUGAGCACCAAUUCUCUGUUCCUUUUCAUUCACUCCAAUGAAGUUUCCCUUUUUUCAUACAAGGAAAAUGAGCAUUUUACAAAAUAACAAAGCAAAUUAUUGCCUUUGUCUGCUUUCAGCAAAAGUUCUCUCCAGCUAGCAAUGCAUUGUUAACAUGAUUUCUCUGAGACAUACAUAGGAUAAAAAGCACUUGGCUGUUGUAAAUUCAACAGGAAAAUACACAGACUUCAAGGGGGUCAGGCUGUCAAACACAACACAGGAGAUCAAACUAAAGAGGCCAGGAGGAACCCAGGUAAAAAGCCAUGUGCAUUUACAUGCCAUCUAAUAAAUAUAUGAUGAUAAGUGUUAAGAACUUGGAAGAUCCAGUUCUGCAAACACUGACUCACACAAACAAGUCCCUAUUUAGAGCAAUCCCAUUGCAGUCAAAGUGAUUUCAUUUGUUAGGACAAAGCGCAGACACGGAUUUCAUACCUGUUCACAUCUGUACCAUGGAAGGAUGUGAAAAUCGGAAACAUAGAUCCUUUCUAGAAGGUCAGUCUGUUUAAAGCAAUUAAUUUCUAUACUGCUACUCAGCAAAUUAAUAAAAUAGACAAAGCAUCUACAAGAGAUAACCAAGAGAGGCUCUUGGUAAAUAGUCAUUCUACGUUCUCAUAAAUAAAUCAAACGCUGCCUUGGUAAUACUUGAACUGAUACUAGAAGCAUUAUUUUUAACAUAGUGUAAGCGUACCAGCCAUCAGGAAUAAAAUA